CUGGUGGAGAGAAGUGCGCGCCUUCACUUCACAGCUUUCUUCUCUUUUUCGUCGCGACUCUGAUAUAAAGCCGCCGUUCUAACUGCAGAGGUCAGAGAGAUUUCUCUCUGCCUCUCGGAUUUCUGCUCCAUCUGACUGGUCCAGAGAACAAACGAAUAAAGGUCAGACUCUUUCAACAUUGGUUCCUGACUGAACUUUGUCUCGCUUCAAAUGUGGAACAUGUUUUAUCAAUCUGUGGAACAGAAAAUGGACAAACAGCAGUGACUGAAGAUGUCAGAUGUGGAUGAAGAGGAGGGCAGGUCAGGUGUGGACAGGUAAGAGCCGUCAGGCGUUCUCUUCAGUGUUUCUUCCUGCCACCACAGAGUGAUCUGACUCUUCUAAUGUUGCCGUCAUGUGUGGAAGGUGUGUGAACCUUCCUCUCCAGGUUGGACAUGUACGUCUCACAUGUUGAAUGAAUGUGUGUAAACUGUCAGAACCUCCUGAUCUGUCAAGGAGCCAACAGAACAUUUGGACCUGCUGUCAAACUCCUGAUUGGGCAGUGUGGGUGUGACCUUUGACCUCUGUCAUGUUCAUCUCUUCAUAAACAACUGGGUUUACAGUGAACUGACUGAACCAUUCAAGCUGUUUCUAAAUCCUCUGAUUUCUCUCUAAGGUUGUCUCUGAAGAGUGACUGGU